UACAACACUAUUGGUUGAUCAUACCAUGAUGCAAUUUAGAAUGAAAUUGAUAGGAUUAAACAAGAGAUUGAGCAUAAACAUUUGGAAAGUCAACGAUUGAUGCUGUCGGAACAUAAGGAAUUGAAUUGAUGCAAAGAGCUAUUGUGACUAUUAUGAAGAUGUAGGAGAAGAAAAAGCAAGAGUUUGAAAUUAGAUUAAGGGACGACAUCUGUAAUUUCUAAAUUCCCAAAAAAUGCAAAAUCAAAAUUCCUAUUCUUCUCAAAAUAAUUAUCCGUAUCAAAUGCAACCAUUGCGGCCUCCUCGUUUGUCGAUGUUGUCAUUUCAGUAUCCUUCUUCCUAGUAUCAACAAGGAGGACAUUAUAGACCAAGUAUGCCAAUGUCGCUGAACUAUAAUUAUAAUCGACCUGAUUUGAAUCAGCCAUCUCUGCAUUUGUAUUUUCUUGCACAAUCAUCAUCAACUGCUCCAAUUCAACCUUUAAAUCAGUCUUCUGAACCAUCUAUUCUUCUUGAUCAUGGUGAUUUAUCAUUUAAUAAUAUGUUAAAUUUUUUCUAAUAAUAGUGUGAA
rnacentral:lncRNA from 1 species